GGAGCAGUGAUGUGGAUGAAGGGCGAGGAUAUCAAGGUGCAGAGUGCGGCGCAGCUCCUUAUAAGUGGCAGUAGAUCUAACAAGAUAUCAUCAUUUGAAUACUUUACCAAGCAGCAUGUGAGAGUUUGGUGUUUAAGAAAACAAGAUGGCCAAUGAUGGAUGGACAAGUGGCAGUGAAACAAGAACAUUUAGGCAAAGAAAAAACAGAGCCAGUCCUCAGAAGCAAAAAGAACAAGAAAAUCAGCAGACACACUUAAGAAGGAAAUGCAGACUGAAACAUUGCAUUCAUCUAUUUUCUGAAUCCCUUGCUAUUUAUUGGAGAGUUUGUAGAUGCAAUUUUCUAUUCUAACAGGAUUUGAUACAAGUCAAAAAAGGACCCUAGAUGGAAUGUAAGUCUAUGGCAGAGCACACAGAAACAGCUCACGCAACUCAACCCAGACUAGUUAAAAGACAUUAGUUAACCUAAAAUACUAAGUUUACAAAUGAUACUCUAUAUUUCAAAUCAACAUGGGCCCAGAGGUCUUUAUAUGGAACAGCAUGUACAUGAGUCUCAUGUUAUAUAUAAUCGUGGCUAUGGCUGCAACGUUUGCCAUUGCUGGGUAAUGGCACCUGAAACCUCUGAAGGUUUGCCUGAAUCAUUUUUUUCAUCAGUUUGCUUCAGUGUCUUUUCGCUUAGUCUCGUUUAUAUUUAAACAUAUGCUGUGACUCCUCAAAUUUGCAACAGCAAAGGAUCAACCUAAGCUAAAUAAUAGAGUUUAUAUUAAAAAAGGUGAAUGCAAGGAAUGGUUUGAUGAUAUCUAUUCAUAAAGAAAUGCAUUUGUGACUAUCAUACAUUUAAUAAUUCUUGAUAAUGUUCUGUACAGAGCAAGCUUUGGUCACUGUGCAUUUCUGAGUACUUACUGUAGUUUUUCUGCGUGUUUCUUUGCACUUAUAUUUUAAUAAUAAUAACAAUAAUUAUAAUAAUACAGUUUAUUUCAUUGUGCCUUUCAAGACACUCAGUGAUGUAUUACAAAAUAAAACCAUUGUGCUGACCCAA